UCAAAUUUGCUUCCAUGAACGCUCUCACCACUCCCUGAAUUUUUUUCCCUUCUCUUCCUUCUGCUGUUUCACCCUAAGAAGUGGAUCCCUGACAAGUUUGCUUACCAGUCAUGGGGGUAGCAUCUGAGGUAUCUGAAAGUGCACGCAUGCAGUGACCUGGAGGGGACGAUGGAGCCUGCCAGGAAGACUUCCCUGAGGAAAGAUGUCUAAUUCGAGACCUGAAAGAUGAGUGGGGAUCACCAGACAAGAAAAAGGCAAGAACAUUCUAAUCAAAUUCAUAGCACAGGUCAAGUUCUGAGAUGUGAAAGACAGAGAGAGGGAUGUAGAGAUACAGAGGGAAGAGGAGAGGAGAGGUCAGGAUGGGACAGGAGACUGGAUGAAAAAGUCCUAUGGACGGUAUCAAAGAUGAAAAGAUGGGGCUACAGAAAUGAGCAGGUAGAGCUCAUCCAAGGUCUUGCAGCCACAUAUUAUAAAGACUGAAAAAAUGCCAUUGAAGAUUUUUGAGCAGGAGGAUGACAAACAGAAUUGCCUUUUUGA